UACGAAGGGGGCUAGCGUUGCUCGGAAUCACUGGGCGUAAAGCGCACGUAGGCGGAUUGCUAAGUCAGGGGUGAAAUCCUGGAGCUCAACUCCAGAACUGCCUUUGAUACUGGGGAUCUCGAGUCCGGAAGAGGUUGGUGGAACUGCGAGUGUAGAGGUGAAAUUCGUAGAUAUUCGCAAGAACACCAGUGGCGAAGGCGGCCAACUGGUCCGGUACUGACGCUGAGGUGCGAAAGCGUGGGGAGCAAACAGG
rnacentral:rRNA from 1 species